GUUAUGAAACAUAUUUGUAGGCAAAAUAAUUUUCUACAAAUUAUGAUUUUAAAAGUUUUAUUACGAUGCAUAGUUUCUGAGAUAUAGCAAAAAAAGUGUUUCCAUCCCUUUUUCCAAGAUGGCGGCCGAGGGACAAGGGUGGCGACCCCACAAACUUCAAGUUAAGCUUCUAUUGACCCCCCCUACAUGAUCAAAAAAUAAAAUUGCGUCCUCUAAAAAAUGUAAAGCUCAUGUAACAUUUCAAUGGACUAGAUGACCGCCUAACAACUGCGAGUUAUGAAUUGACGUGCCGCUCGAUAUUAGGGGAAAAAUUUCCAGUUCAAUGUUUUAUAAUAGAUGUUUUAGCCCGCAUAUAAGUUCUAUAUACUUAUAUAUAAGCUAAUGUUAUUAAUGAUAUUUUUCUCGUUCAUACAUAUAAUUGAAAUUGAAUUCUAAUACACACACAGAUUACACAAUUCAUUAUGAAUUUGCUAAUCACAACACCUUUGCUUACCAAGGUAUAAACUUCUUAAUAUGCGACAUUUUUGCAAAAGAUUUACCAAUUUUGGACUUAGUAUCGAAUUUGUCAAUUUGCGUGGGUGCACGAGGACUAAGUCUUACUUCAUAGAAUACUUUUGUGAAUGGAUUAAGUAAUGUUCAUUUAAAUAAUGUUUGUUAUUUAUGAGUAUAGAUUGGUUAAUACUGCGUUGUUCUUAGGUAAUGUGACUUUUUUUAGUCUUGUUGGACUAAUGUUAAGGUUAUCUUUGUAUGGUUUGAUACUUAUGAGAAUAAAGACCAAAUUUUCAUAGCUAGGCUAUAUUUUUGAAGUUCAACAUAAAUACUGAUUUUUAUGUAUGUACCUAAGUAAUCUUGGAUAGUUUAUGCGGUUUCCGACCACAGUAUGGAAAAUCAGUGAUUUAUGUAGUUUGUAGGUAUGUUAGUUAUGUUUAUAUAUGUAUAAAUAAAUACACUUGAGACGCAUAUAAGGAAAUAUUCGAAUCGAAAAAGGAAAAGUUUGUUUACGAGUUCCAGUUUCAAAGUAAGUAUAACAAAUAAAUAGUUGACUUACUUAAUAUUCCAAUGUUUAUCCUCAAAACAUGUAUCUCUGCAACUAUUAAAACGUACUAGGAAUAAUAAUGUUUUAAAUAAGAUGCCUGUUUUCCACUAUAGUCCUACCACUAGUGUGUCAAGGCUAGUAUAUUGCAACAAAAUAAACCGAAGGCAAUUGGCAGGCUUCUCUUAUCAAUAGAAUUUAAAUUCAAACCCGAUGUUUUAGGGUUUAAGUUCGCUAAACGAGUGUAAUCGUGUAUUUUAAUUGCUAAGCAAAAAGUAAUAGCGUCGCGGCGUUUGCUUAGAAUUUUCUUGUUUUACUUUUUUUUUAAGUUACGAAGAAAAAGUGUUCAUGAACGGUGACAUCGAUCUAGUUAAUCUUCUAAAGUUAAUCUACUUUAAAUGGAAAAUGUAAACUGCAGAGAAUUUUCUCAGAAAUUGAUUCGCUGACGUGGGUGCUUAAGUGCUACCUAAUAUGCCUUCAAUAUAUUUUAUUUAGGUACUUACAAACUGUACAAACGAAGUUGUUUUCCCAUGUGUAUCCAAAUUUAUAAUAAACUUCCUGACAAAAUUCGGGAACUACCUAUGAUUCGGUUUAAAAGGGCAUUACGAACAUGGCUAAUUGAUAAUCCCUUUUAUUCCAUUAAAGAAUUCUUGCAAUGUAAGUUCCCGAAAUAAUUGUAUAUUUAAGAUAAAUAUGUAUUUUUGCAUGUCACUAUAUUAUGACUGAAUACUGUACUGAUCGACACUUUGUAACACCUUGUUUGAAACUGUAUUCAUUAGCAAAUAAAUCCUUUGACUUUGAGUUUGACUUUAGUUACCAAUUACUUUCCAGUGACGUAGGUAUCAAUAUUUUAAAAUACGGUACAGAUUUAAAUACGUAAAACUGAUGUUUUCGCUAAUCGCAAGAUGUUACGAUGUCAACAAGAUAAAUGUGACAGAAAAAAAUAUCUCAACUCUUUGUGAAGUUGUUGAUAAGUACUGAUAUCCUCUCCAAUGGAUAUAAAGUCCAAUAUGAUAGUACUAGAUAACUAGGUACUAGGCUAAAAGGUACACUAGACACUUGAUUUAACCAGUACUUAACCAUUGUUGUUAGAUAUUUGAUAACACUGUUCGUCCUAUGUAUAAAUUUGUACAACACUAUACAAUGUAUUAUAAUUAUUAAAGGUACAAAACUAAAGCUUAUUAAGAGUUUAUAAUAUGCAUAGGUAUAUACAGGUUGUCCCAAAACGUGACUCGGUGACAGGUAUUCUUAUGACGACUCUGGAAAGCACAAAAAAGUAUUUCCAUUUUUACCCGACUGCGCCAGAAGGAGGGUUAUGUUUUUCGAGUGUAUGUAUGUAUGUAUGUAUGUAUGUAUGUAUGUAUGUAUGUAUGUAUAAUUGUUUGGCACGCUCUGCAGCCUAAACGGCUUGAUGGAUUUUGACUUGAGAGGUGUCGUUAGAUUCGUAUUUACUGUGAGAGUGACACUGGAUAUAUCAAAAUAAAAAAAAAUCAAAAUGGCGGAUUUUUGGCGCCAAAUUCGAAUAUUUCUCACUCUCUAGCCUGAACGACUCGAUGGAUUUCCGCUUGAUAGGGGUCGUUUGAUUCGUAUUUACUGUGAGAGUGACACUAGAUAUAUCAAAAUGAAAAAAUAAUAAAACUAAAAAAAAUAAAAAUAAAAAAA